rnacentral:rRNA from 1 species
UACGGAGGGGGCUAGCGUUGUUCGGAAUUACUGGGCGUAAAGCGCACGUAGGCGGCUUUGCAAGUCAGAGGUGAAAGCCCGGGGCUCAACCCCGGAAUUGCCUUUGAGACUGCAUCGCUAGAAUUGUGGAGAGGUAAGUGGAAUUCCGAGCGUAGAGGUGAAAUUCGUAGAUGUUCGGAAGAACACCAGUGGCGAAGGCGACUUACUGGACACAUAUUGACGCUGAGGUGCGAAAGCGUGGGGAGCAAACAGG